ensembl:ncRNA T09B4.15 ncRNA
UUGUUGACCCCAUUCAUUCCUCUCAACAACUAUGCAAAUUUGUAUUACUGAGCAAGCAAUAACU